rnacentral:rRNA from 1 species
GAUGAAUGCUGGCGGCGUGCCUAACACAUGCAAGUCGAGCGGCAGCGCGAGGAGUUUACUCCUUGGCGGCGAGCGGCGGACGGCUGAGUAACGCGUGGGAACGUGCCCCAAAGUGAGGAAUAACUGCCCGAAAGGGUGGCUAAUGCCGCAUAUGAUCUUCGGAUUAAAGUCUUCGGACGCUUUGGGAGCGGCCCGCGUCGGAUUAGGUUGUUGGUGAGGUAAUGGCUCACCAAGCCGACGAUCCGUAGCUGGUCUGAGAGGAUGAUCAGCCAGACUGGGACUGAGACACGGCCCGGACUCCUACGGGAGGCAGCAGUGAGGAAUCUUCCACAAUGGGCGAAAGCUUGAUGGAGCAACGCCGCGUGCAGGAUGAAGGCCUUCGGGUUGUAAACUGCUUUUAUAAGUGAAGAAUAUGACGGUAACUUAUGAAUAAGCACCGGCUAACUACGUGCCAGCCGCCGCCGUAA